GGUUAAGCGACUAAGCGUACACGGUGGAUGCCCUGGCAGUCAGAGGCGAUGAAGGACGUGCUAAUCUGCGAUAAGCGUCGGUGAGGUGAUAUGAACCGUUAUAACCGGCGAUUUCCGAAUGGGGAAACCCAGUGUGUUUCGACACACUAUCAUUAACUGAAUCCAUAGGUUAAUGAGGCGAACCGGGGGAACUGAAACAUCUAAGUACCCCGAGGAAAAGAAAUCAACCGAGAUUCCCCCAGUAGCGGCGAGCGAACGGGGAGGAGCCCAGAGCCUGAAUCAGUGUGUGUGUUAGUGGAAGCGUCUGGAAAGGCGCGCGAUACAGGGUGACAGCCCCGUACACAAAAAUGCACAUAUUGUGAGCUCGAUGAGUAGGGCGGGACACGUGGUAUCCUGUCUGAAUAUGGGGGGACCAUCCUCCAAGGCUAAAUACUCCUGACUGACCGAUAGUGAACCAGUACCGUGAGGGAAAGGCGAAAAGAACCCCGGCGAGGGGAGUGAAAAAGAACCUGAAACCGUGUACGUACAAGCAGUGGGAGCCUCUUUAUGGGGUGACUGCGUACCUUUUGUAUAAUGGGUCAGCGACUUAUAUUCUGUAGCAAGGUUAACCGAAUAGGGGAGCCGAAGGGAAACCGAGUCUUAACUGGGCGUUAAGUUGCAGGGUAUAGACCCGAAACCCGGUGAUCUAGCCAUGGGCAGGUUGAAGGUUGGGUAACACUAACUGGAGGACCGAACCGACUAAUGUUGAAAAAUUAGCGGAUGACUUGUGGCUGGGGGUGAAAGGCCAAUCAAACCGGGAGAUAGCUGGUUCUCCCCGAAAGCUAUUUAGGUAGCGCCUCGUGAAUUCAUCUCCGGGGGUAGAGCACUGUUUCGGCAAGGGGGUCAUCCCGACUUACCAACCCGAUGCAAACUGCGAAUACCGGAGAAUGUUAUCACGGGAGACACACGGCGGGUGCUAACGUCCGUCGUGAAGAGGGAAACAACCCAGACCGCCAGCUAAGGUCCCAAAGUCAUGGUUAAGUGGGAAACGAUGUGGGAAGGCCCAGACAGCCAGGAUGUUGGCUUAGAAGCAGCCAUCAUUUAAAGAAAGCGUAAUAGCUCACUGGUCGAGUCGGCCUGCGCGGAAGAUGUAACGGGGCUAAACCAUGCACCGAAGCUGCGGCAGCGACACUAUGUGUUGUUGGGUAGGGGAGCGUUCUGUAAGCCUGUGAAGGUGGCCUGUGAGGGUUGCUGGAGGUAUCAGAAGUGCGAAUGCUGACAUAAGUAACGAUAAAGCGGGUGAAAAGCCCGCUCGCCGGAAGACCAAGGGUUCCUGUCCAACGUUAAUCGGGGCAGGGUGAGUCGACCCCUAAGGCGAGGCCGAAAGGCGUAGUCGAUGGGAAACAGGUUAAUAUUCCUGUACUUGGUGUUACUGCGAAGGGGGGACGGAGAAGGCUAUGUUGGCCGGGCGACGGUUGUCCCGGUUUAAGCGUGUAGGCUGGUUUUCCAGGCAAAUCCGGAAAACCAAGGCUGAGGCGUGAUGACGAGGCACUACAGUGCUGAAGCGACAAAUGCCCUGCUUCCAGGAAAAGCCUCUAAGCAUCAGGUAACAUCAAAUCGUACCCCAAACCGACACAGGUGGUCAGGUAGAGAAUACCAAGGCGCUUGAGAGAACUCGGGUGAAGGAACUAGGCAAAAUGGUGCCGUAACUUCGGGAGAAGGCACGCUGAUAUGUAGGUGAAGCGACUUGCUCGUGGAGCUGAAAUCAGUCGAAGAUACCAGCUGGCUGCAACUGUUUAUUAAAAACACAGCACUGUGCAAACACGAAAGUGGACGUAUACGGUGUGACGCCUGCCCGGUGCCGGAAGGUUAAUUGAUGGGGUUAGCGGUAACGCGAAGCUCUUGAUCGAAGCCCCGGUAAACGGCGGCCGUAACUAUAACGGUCCUAAGGUAGCGAAAUUCCUUGUCGGGUAAGUUCCGACCUGCACGAAUGGCGUAAUGAUGGCCAGGCUGUCUCCACCCGAGACUCAGUGAAAUUGAACUCGCUGUGAAGAUGCAGUGUACCCGCGGCAAGACGGAAAGACCCCGUGAACCUUUACUAUAGCUUGACACUGAACAUUGAGCCUUGAUGUGUAGGAUAGGUGGGAGGCUUUGAAGUGUGGACGCCAGUCUGCAUGGAGCCGACCUUGAAAUACCACCCUUUAAUGUUUGAUGUUCUAACGUUGGCCCGUAAUCCGGGUUGCGGACAGUGUCUGGUGGGUAGUUUGACUGGGGCGGUCUCCUCCUAAAGAGUAACGGAGGAGCACGAAGGUUGGCUAAUCCUGGUCGGACAUCAGGAGGUUAGUGCAAUGGCAUAAGCCAGCUUGACUGCGAGCGUGACGGCGCGAGCAGGUGCGAAAGCAGGUCAUAGUGAUCCGGUGGUUCUGAAUGGAAGGGCCAUCGCUCAACGGAUAAAAGGUACUCCGGGGAUAACAGGCUGAUACCGCCCAAGAGUUCAUAUCGACGGCGGUGUUUGGCACCUCGAUGUCGGCUCAUCACAUCCUGGGGCUGAAGUAGGUCCCAAGGGUAUGGCUGUUCGCCAUUUAAAGUGGUACGCGAGCUGGGUUUAGAACGUCGUGAGACAGUUCGGUCCCUAUCUGCCGUGGGCGCUGGAGAACUGAGGGGGGCUGCUCCUAGUACGAGAGGACCGGAGUGGACGCAUCACUGGUGUUCGGGUUGUCAUGCCAAUGGCACUGCCCGGUAGCUAAAUGCGGAAGAGAUAAGUGCUGAAAGCAUCUAAGCACGAAACUUGC
rnacentral:rRNA from 1 species